CAGUCGAGCGGUAAGGCCCUUCGGGGUACACGAGCGGCGAACGGGUGAGUAACACGUGGGUGAUCUGCCUUGCACUUCGGGAUAAGCCUGGGAAACUGGGUCUAAUACCGGAUAUGACCACGGAAUGCAUGUUUUGUGGUGGAAAGAUUUAUCGGUGCGAGAUGGGCCCGCGGCCUAUCAGCUUGUUGGUGAGGUAACGGCUCACCAAGGCGACGACGGGUAGCCGACCUGAGAGGGUGACCGGCCACACUGGGACUGAGACACGGCCCAGACUCCUACGGGAGGCAGCAGUGGGGAAUAUUGCACAAUGGGCGAAAGCCUGAUGCAGCGACGCCGCGUGCGGGAUGACGGCCUUCGGGUUGUAAACCGCUUUUGACAGGGACGAAGCGCGAGUGACUGUACCUGUAGAAUAAGGACCGGCCAACUACGUGCCAGCAGCCGCGGUAAUACGUAGGGUCCGAGCGUUGUCCGGAAUUACUGGGCGUAAAGAGCUUGUAGGCGGUUCGUCGCGUCGUUUGUGAAAACUUGGGGCUCAACCUUAAGCUUGCAGGCGAUACGGGCGGACUAGAGUACUUCAGGGGAGACUGGAAUUCCUGGUGUAGCGGUGAAAUGCGCAGAUAUCAGGAGGAACACCGGUGGCGAAGGCGGGUCUCUGGGAAGUAACUGACGCUGAGAAGCGAAAGCAUGGGUAGCAAACAGGAUUAGAUACCCUGGUAGUCCAUGCCGUAAACGGUGGGUACUAGGUGUGGGGCUCCUUCCACGGACUCCGUGCCGUAGCUAACGCAUUAAGUACCCCGCCUGGGGAGUACGGCCGCAAGGCUAAAACUCAAAGAAAUUGACGGGGGCCCGCACAAGCGGCGGAGCAUGUGGAUUAAUUCGAUGCAACGCGAAGAACCUUACCUGGGUUUGACAUACACCGGAAACCUGCAGAGAUGUAGGCCCCCUUGUGGUCGGUGUACAGGUGGUGCAUGGCUGUCGUCAGCUCGUGUCGUGAGAUGUUGGGUUAAGUCCCGCAACGAGCGCAACCCUUAUCUUAUGUUGCCAGCGCGUAAUGGCGGGGACUCGUGAGAGACUGCCGGGGUCAACUCGGAGGAAGGUGGGGACGACGUCAAGUCAUCAUGCCCCUUAUGUCCAGGGCUUCACACAUGCUACAAUGGCCGGUACAGAGGGCUGCGAUACCGCGAGGUGGAGCGAAUCCCUUAAAGCCGGUCUCAGUUCGGAUCGGGGUCUGCAACUCGACCCCGUGAAGUUGGAGUCGCUAGUAAUCGCAGAUCAGCAACGCUGCGGUGAAUACGUUCCCGGGCCUUGUACACACCGCCCGUCACGUCAUGAAAGUCGGUAACACCCGAAGCCGG
rnacentral:rRNA from 1 species